AAAUGCGCUUUCUGGGACUAAGUAGACUGAACGUUCUUUUACUCCCUUCAAGUAAUGAAUUUUCACUGAACUUUUUCAACUUUUGAUCCGUAAAACUGGUGCGCUCUCUUGAUGACUAAACUCGUUUGCACCUUACUCCAAUUGUUUACACACAUGGCGGCGGCAGAUUCAUAUGAAUGAGAAUGAGUGGUGCACAGCCUGCGACUAGUGAGCCAGAUGUAGCCUGCUGACUGUUGAUAUGCAACAAGGGAAAGCUUCUAAACACAAUAAAUCCAUUGAAAAGGACAUUACAGGAGCCAAUAUACUGACAGCAUGGACAGAAGGGUGUGAGAAUUAUGGUGUUGGAAUUGGCAGGAAGUACCGCUCAGAAAAAGCUUGACAGACUACUGUACAAGUCAUAAUGGAGACAUUGAAUUGAAAAUUCUGUUAUCUUGAGUCUCAAUAUUGAUGUUUUUAGAUCAUUAAAUGGUUAUAUGUAUACUAUAUGCAUAUAACGAUUGGAAAAAGGUGCAGCAAAGCUUUAUUAUAAAGAGGCCAUAACGGCGGAAAUGUAGAUAUUGAAAAUGAGGAAGAAAAAAUAUUGUAUUAUUAGUUGCAUUGUAUUUUUCUAAAUAAAUGUCUUUUUUUUUA